CGAAGAUGUCAGUGCUUAUGUCAACAUUGGCUCUUGAUAGUUCUGUUAAAAUCUAACUAAUUAUGGCAUCAAAGCCGGUGGAGUGUGUAAAUUUGCUGUCAGUGUGGGAAUACAGAAUAAUUUUGGGGAUUAUUGUUUUUGGCACAGCACAUAUGUAUCAAGAAGCAUCAAUUAUUUGCUCAAAUUCACUCUUCACAGACUGGCUCAUUCCCAAAUUAGGCCAGCACACUGUCGUAGGAUGCAGGCUGAACAACUAUCGAUGUAGUUAGGACAUCUGCUUCCCAGUUCUGAGGUUUUGGGUGUCUUUUGUUGUACAGCAAAAUAGACAGUAUAUAUGCAUAUUUUUUUGUGCAGAUUUUCAUCUGGCACUGUAUUUUACGAACAUUUAGUUUGAUACCAUGUGCCAAUUCCUGUUAGCGCUCAAGUGUAGUGUGCAUCCUGUACCUGUGCAGGUACUCUGUCUACCUCCCACUCAAAACUGUACGUAUUCUUUGGAUUUUUUUAAACACACAUUACUUCGAAAUCCUUCAGUCAGGACGUUUGCGCACAGUGCCACACUGCCAGCCCCCACCCCACCCAAUAUGACGUUUCCAUGCUAUAGCUACUUAUUGCCUAUCGAGCAGUGGUCGGGAACUCCGGUUCUUCUUGAGGCAUAUCCUGCCCGUUUUCGAUCCCUCCCCACACCAACGCACCUGAUUCAAAGGAUCAUCAUCAGCAAGCGCUGUAGAAGCAUGAAACGAUCAAGAUCAAUUGACUCAGGUGUGUUGGAUUAGGGAGAGCUCGGAAACAAGCAGGAUAUGGAUCUCUAGGAACCGGAUUUCCCGACCCCUUCUCUAUUGGAAGCCUUUUUUCUCCACCCCCUCAUUCAAGCACAGCGGAGCUCCUUGAGCCCAACCAUGUGAGCAGUCUCAGCGAGCAUCCUUGGGCCCAUUAAUUCGCAAAAGUCGUCGAAGUCCACGUGGCCACCCCCUGCAGAAGGACAAAGCAAACUAACCGAGUUCGCAAACGCAGCCACCCACCACCACACUUUUCAUGCAAAGCUGGAAGCCGGGAAGACAAGGUCCGCAUGAACAUGAAUUUGGAACGAUUAAGGUGGAGCAAAGCCGGAGUUUUAGUUACUAAAGAGUUAAUUCAGGGCAGGAAGGCAUCCUGAGGCAUCCCGGUAACUUCCCCAAAAACAAAUAGACUUGUUUUCAAAGAGUGACAAGUGCUUUGUUUGUUGCCCAUGAGGGCAAUUGCAAAUGAUUUGCCUCAGUCCUCAAAACAAUGGUCUCAUUUGCAUACGUUUAAACACGUUCUGGAUGUAAUUUGCAAAUGUUAAUUGAGAUGAUUUUGAAAGAUGAACCAAAAAUUAAAGGCAUAAUCUUAUUAAAAUGAGUGUGCCUUAAGUAAAACAAAACUAUAAAAAAAAUGUUGGAAUCGCACAGGCCUACCCGAUGCACAAUUUGUCUCCUUAACCAUCAUCAUAUUCACAUUGGGAAGCGAGAAACAUGAAAGCUCACUCGUCCUUGUAUAAGACGUAUGGCGAUGCUGCUUGGCACAUACCCCUGGGAUAUCUAUAACCUCAAAGAAACCUGACUGGCACAGUAGUUUAACAGGCGUAUAAAAUCUCUGAUCAUUUUUUUCCCCCUUUCGUGCAGCUGUAUAAAAUGAAACUGAAGGCUGUAUAAUCAAGUCAAAAGUAACAAAUACGACCCAAUAUUUGUAGCAUUUGCAAAUUGACCUUUACUGCCAUUCUUUUUCACCUGCCACUUGCAAUCCCUUCUUGGUAAUUUUAAGGUUCUUAGAGUGACCAUUUGUCAAAAAAAGGGGGGGGGGGGCACAUGAGUAAAUAAAUACACCAUUGUAUUUAAUAAUCCCACUUAAGAAUGAACAAGAAUAUAACUCAGGCGGGUGCAGAAAUGCGCCAAGGCC